rnacentral:lncRNA from 10 species
UAAUGUUAUACUUAUCAUUGUGUGUUUUCCAGAUGAUACCAGGCAAAGUAAAACCUGGGUUGUGGUGACAGCAGCACUCGUGUCUGACGUCUGAUGCAGACCCUUCCAUGAAGGCAGGUCACUGACUUGCUCUCACCCUCAGCCCCUCUGCAUAUAAUUCUCAGUUUCUCCAGAAAGCAUUUUACCUGUGCUUCAGAGGGACUAUUUAACAAAGACAUUUGCCAUUUUCCACUCCUUCUUUAGCCUCCCUAGGAGAUGCCCGGUGGUAAGUCUAUGAAGCUAACACGGUGCACCCACACCUCCAUCCCUGUCCCUGUCCUGCCACAUGGCUGCCUCUUUUGAGGACUCCACCUGGGUCAUUGAAUAUACUCUGGAGGGCACAGUGAUCUAGCCUUCCCAUUGUUUCUUACUUCUUUUUGCAGCACUGUCUUCCUUAGAAUCAGGCAUAAAAUCAUGGGACUCCAAUGGAAGACUCAGGGGACCCUGACCCACGGCCAGGCAGACAGCCCCUCAUGGGCCCAGAUAACCCUUCAUCCAUAUGAAUUGAACACUGUAAGAUAUCCACAGCUUCAGUUCUCAUAGCUGGGACCUCUGCUUUAUGCCAUAAAGUUUACUGAGAAACAAGCAUUUGUUCACUCUUCUGGGCAGUGGGCACAGUGCUGCAUCUUUAUGAGGCUUUUGUGAGGACUAAAGAGACCCUAUAUGCUCAGUUCAUUAUAAGGGCUUAGCAGGUGCUAUUAACCUUUCCUUCUCACUGAAUCAGGCUGACACCCAGAGGAAGCACAGCCUCCCCUCUGAAGCUUCCUCUACUGCAGUCUCUGUGCUCAUCGCAAGGAUCUCUCCAUAUUGACUUAUAUUUGUUUCUGGUCUUAUAUUUUUCUCUAUGGACAGACUUCUAUUUUCAGAAGAUAGAUAUUUAAGUCACAAUAUUCUGGACUCUGGCUUAGUUAGACCAACCGUCUCUUGAUCGUCUGUGGAAACUGAAUCAGGAACACCCCAGAGAGCUGGCUCUGGAUGUAAUUCACAGCUUCAUUUAAUUAUUAUCAUCAAAGUUAAUGAAGGCCAUAAACUGUUUCAUAACAUACCAAUGGGAAGUGUGAUUGGAGGGAAAGCUGGACACCUCACCAUAAAACUGGCACAGCAGAAACGGCUCGACUUAACAAAACCUUCUUAUGAAGAAAAAGACAAUGAAACCAUGUUCAGUUUAGUGAACCUUUCACACUUGGCAACAUGAAUGUUAAGUCAAAAGAACAAUGGAGCUAUGAGUUUUUUUAAUCAAAUUUUUAUUUUGGGUCAAAUAAGCCAUUUUGUUUGUUUGUUAUUAAGUGUAAAGAGAGCUUUCGGUUAGCUAUUUAGUUAUAACUUUAUCUCACCCACUUCUAAAAAAGCGUUGAGGCUACUUGAAGUAAAGUCCUGUAGACGAGAGAGCGUAACACUAAAAGAUAGAAAGAAAACUUAGAAGAUGGAAGAGAAAUAAUUGCACUAGAAACCUGGCCAAUAUCAUGAACAGGCUCCAUAUAGGGACUCCUGUAUAUAGAUCGCUGUGUGUGUGGAUAGUACGUUCAAUAAAUGUAUUAUCUGAACUGCUUUUAAAGUUCUACUCUUGGAUUCCUGAAAUACUAUCUCUAUGGAUUUGCCUAUUCUGGAUGCUUCAUAUAGAUGGAAUCAUUCAUUACGCAACCCUUUGUAUCUGGCUUCUUUCAUUUAGCAUGAGGCUUUCCAGGUUCAUCCAUAUCAUAAGAAGUAUCAGUAUUUUACUCCACUUUAAAGUUCUGUAAUAGUUACUAUCUAUCUAUUUGGUAUACAUACAUGUAUAUAUUAAUUUUGCUUAUCCAUUUAUUCAUUUAUGAACAUUUGGAUUGUUUCUACCUCUUGGAAUUGUAAAUCAUGCUGUUAUGAACAUGGAUGUACACAUACCUGCUUGAGACUCUGCUUUCAAUCCUUUUGGGUACAUACAUCAGGGUGGAAUUACUGGAUCAUAUGGUAACUCUAUGUUUAACAUUUUAGAAAGUGUUUUCCCCACUCUUGGUGGAAAAAGCACAAACACAAACUGUGGAAAACACAAACUACUUUUCCUCUGCUCCCAUACCACAACAAUUACACAGAAGGCUUCUGUGUCCAAAUGCGUGUGUGGUUUUCUCCUACAUACCAAGAAAGCAAUCAGUUCUGCAGCAGACACUAGCUGGGAAUCCUCUAGUUCAAUUCAGUACUGACACUAUCUACAGAGAGUUAGCAUAGCUCCCACAAGUUAAGGGCUCAGUCCUACAAAACUGCUUCCAUCCCACUUCUGAUGCCAAUCAGAAGCACAGGUUGUUUUGCCCAUGCUUCUGAACUGCUGGCUAUAAAUCAAGUCACAUGAUCCCCAACUUAAAUUUGAGUAAUUUGCCAGAGUGGCUCACAGAACUAAGGGAAACACUCAUGUU